AGAGUUUGAUCCUGGCUCAGGAUGAACGCUGGCGGCGUGCCUAAUACAUGCAAGUCGAGCGAACGGACGAGAAGCUUGCUUCUCUGAUGUUAGCGGCGGACGGGUGAGUAACACGUGGAUAACCUACCUAUAAGACUGGGAUAACUUCGGGAAACCGGAGCUAAUACCGGAUAAUAUUUUGAACCGCAUGGUUCAAAAGUGAAAGACGGUCUUGCUGUCACUUAUAGAUGGAUCCGCGCUGCAUUAGCUAGUUGGUAAGGUAACGGCUUACCAAGGCAACGAUGCAUAGCCGACCUGAGAGGGUGAUCGGCCACACUGGAACUGAGACACGGUCCAGACUCCUACGGGAGGCAGCAGUAGGGAAUCUUCCGCAAUGGGCGAAAGCCUGACGGAGCAACGCCGCGUGAGUGAUGAAGGUCUUCGGAUCGUAAAACUCUGUUAUUAGGGAAGAACAUAUGUGUAAGUAACUGUGCACAUCUUGACGGUACCUAAUCAGAAAGCCACGGCUAACUACGUGCCAGCAGCCGCGGUAAUACGUAGGUGGCAAGCGUUAUCCGGAAUUAUUGGGCGUAAAGCGCGCGUAGGCGGUUUUUUAAGUCUGAUGUGAAAGCCCACGGCUCAACCGUGGAGGGUCAUUGGAAACUGGAAAACUUGAGUGCAGAAGAGGAAAGUGGAAUUCCAUGUGUAGCGGUGAAAUGCGCAGAGAUAUGGAGGAACACCAGUGGCGAAGGCGACUUUCUGGUCUGUAACUGACGCUGAUGUGCGAAAGCGUGGGGAUCAAACAGGAUUAGAUACCCUGGUAGUCCACGCCGUAAACGAUGAGUGCUAAGUGUUAGGGGGUUUCCGCCCCUUAGUGCUGCAGCUAACGCAUUAAGCACUCCGCCUGGGGAGUACGACCGCAAGGUUGAAACUCAAAGGAAUUGACGGGGACCCGCACAAGCGGUGGAGCAUGUGGUUUAAUUCGAAGCAACGCGAAGAACCUUACCAAAUCUUGACAUCCUUUGACAACUCUAGAGAUAGAGCCUUCCUCUUCGGGGGACAAAGUGACAGGUGGUGCAUGGUUGUCGUCAGCUCGUGUCGUGAGAUGUUGGGUUAAGUCCCGCAACGAGCGCAACCCUUAAGCUUAGUUGCCAUCAUUAAGUUGGGCACUCUAAGUUGACUGCCGGUGACAAACCGGAGGAAGGUGGGGAUGACGUCAAAUCAUCAUGCCCCUUAUGAUUUGGGCUACACACGUGCUACAAUGGACAAUACAAAGGGCAGCGAAACCGCGAGGUCAAGCAAAUCCCAUAAAGUUGUUCUCAGUUCGGAUUGUAGUCUGCAACUCGACUACAUGAAGCUGGAAUCGCUAGUAAUCGUAGAUCAGCAUGCUACGGUGAAUACGUUCCCGGGUCUUGUACACACCGCCCGUCACACCACGAGAGUUUGUAACACCCGAAGCCGGUGGAGUAACCUUUUAGGAGCUAGCCGUCGAAGGUGGGACAAAUGAUUGGGGUGAAGUCGUAACAAGGUAGCCGUAUCGGAAGGUGCGGCUGGAUCACCU
rnacentral:rRNA from 712 species